GAUGAACGCUGGCGGCGUGCCUAAUACAUGCAAGUCGAGCGAACAGACGAGGAGCUUGCUCCUCUGAUGUUAGCGGCGGACGGGUGAGUAACACGUGGAUAACCUACCUAUAAGACUGGGAUAACUUCGGGAAACCGGAGCUAAUACCGGAUAACAUGUUGAACCGCAGGGUUCAACAGUGAAAGACGGUCUUGCUGUCACUUAUAGAUGGAUCCGCGCCGCAUUAGCUAGUUGGUAAGGUAACGGCUUACCAAGGCAACGAUGCGUAGCCGACCUGAGAGGGUGAUCGGCCACACUGGAACUGAGACACGGUCCAGACUCCUACGGGAGGCAGCAGUAGGGAAUCUUCCGCAAUGGGCGAAAGCCUGACGGAGCAACGCCGCGUGAGUGAAGAAGGUCUUCGGAUCGUAAAACUCUGUUAUUAGGGAAGAACAAAUGUGUAAGUAACUAUGCACGUCUUGACGGUACCUAAUCAGAAAGCCACGGCUAACUACGUG
rnacentral:rRNA from 1 species